rnacentral:rRNA from 1 species
AAUGGUCGAAAGUCUGACGGAGCAACGCCGCGUGAGUGAAGAAGGUUUUCGGAUCGUAAAACUCUGUUUUCAGGGACGAAUGUGUGGAUUGUAAAUAAUGAUCCAUAAUGACGGUACCUGACAAGAAAGCCACGGCUAACUACGUGCCAGCAGCCGCGGUAAUACGUAGGUGGCAAGCGUUGUCCGGAAUUAUUGGGCGUAAAGCGCGCGCAGGUGGGAUAAUCAGUCUGAUGUGAAAGUUCGGGGCUUAACCCCGUGAAGCAUUGGAAACUAUUAUUCUUGAGUGCAGGAGAGGAAAGUGGAAUUCCUAGUGUAGCGGUGAAAUGCGUAGAUAUUAGGAGGAACACCAGUGGCGAAGGCGACUUUCUGGACUGUGUCUGACACUGAGGCGCGAAAGCCAGGGUAGUGAACGGGAUUAGAUACCCCGGUAAUCCUGGCCGUAAACGAUGGGUACUAGGUGUUGGGGGUAUCGACCCCUCCAGUGCCGGAGUUAACGCAAUAAGUACCCCGCCUGGGGAGUAC